rnacentral:lncRNA from 1 species
CUCAACUCUAAACCUUAACCAUCAAUCCUAAACCCUUUUUUUUAAAUACGAACCCUAAACCCUAAACCAUCAAUCCUAAACCUUAUUUUUUUUUUAAAUACAAACCCUAAACUCCGAAACAUCAACUCUAAACCCUAAACCCCGAAACAUCAACUCUAAACUCUAAACCCUAAACCUUCAACUCUAAACCCUAAAACAUCAACUCUAAACCCUAAACUUCAACUCUAAACCCUAAACCAUCAACACUAAACCCUAAAAUAUCAUUACUAAACCCUAAACCCUAAAAAGUAAACUCUAAACCCUAAACCCUAAAAAAUUAACCCUAAACCCUAAAACAUUAACUCUAAACCUAAACCCUAAAAAGUAAACUCUAAACUCUAAACCCUAAAAAAUUUAACCCUAAACCCUAAAACAUCAGCUCUAAACCCUAAGCCAUAAACCUUCAACUCUAAAACCUAAACUCUAAACCCUAAAUCCUAAACCCUAAUCCCUAAACCCUAAAACCCUAGAGUUGAUGUUUUAGGGUUUAGAUUUGAAGGUUUAGGGUAUUAGGGUUUAGGGUUUAUGUUUAGGGUUUAGGGUUGAUGUUUUUGGGUUUAGAUUUGAAGGUUUAGGGUUUUAGGGUUAGGGUUCGAAUUUCAGAAAAAUAUAGGGUUUAGGGUUUACGUUUAGUGUUUAGAGUUGAUGUUUUAGGGUUUAGAUUAGAAGGUUUAGAGUUUAUGUUUCGGGGUUUAGGGUUUAGAAUUGAUGUUUCAGGGUUUAGGGUUUAGAGUUGAUGUUUCGGGGUUUAGGGUUUAGAGUUGAUGAUUUAAGGUUUAAAUUGAUAUUUUAAGUUUAGAUUUAGGGUUUAGGGUUUACCUUUAGGGUUUAGAGUUGAUAUUUUAGGGUUUAGAUUUGAAGGUUUAGGGUUUAGGGUUUAGAGUUGAUGUUUCGGGGUUUAGGGUUUAGAAUUGAUGUUUCGGGGUUUAGGGGUUUAGUUUUGAUGAUUUAAAGUUUUUCAUGUUUUAAGUUUAGAUUAGUUAACCGUAUGUUUUUUUUUUCAAACUUAAUCAAAAGGUUAAAAAUGUCUUUUACCCUUCAUCAAAGAUAAGAUGAAGGUAAAAGUUGUUAGUGUAAACAUGAAAACUGGUACUUUGAAAAUUGUAUUUUUGGCAAUUUUCCAAAUAAAAUUUGAAUACAUAAAUACUUAAAAGUUAUUAAAAUGUUGAAUGUUAGAUAUUGAGAUAGAUAUCUUUUAAUGGAUUAUUGGUUGUUGUGUUUUAAUAGAUUUGAAAAUCCGAACUAAAUCUAGUGUUAUUGGUUCUGUGAUUUUAAAAUCCGUAUUAAAUCAUAUGUUAUUGGUUUAAUGAUUCAUAAAUUCUAUACUAAAUCAGUGUUAUUCAAUCGUACAGAUUUACUAAUACAUUUUAUUUUAUAAUGGAUUUGAAUAGAUUUGUUUGGAUUUUUUAGUUAAAAAUACAAAGACUCAAAUCCGAGAGAAAACCUCUGGAUUUCCAUAUUUUACUUGGAUUUAUAAAUAUUAUAUGGAUUUCUAAAUCAAUCAAAAUAUAUAAACCAAUAACACCUCGUGUUGAGACUUGAGAUGUUCUAAUAUAGCCUUUAUUGAUUUAGAAUUAUAAUAUAACUAAUAUAACCUUUAUAUAGCUUGCUUUUUAUUAAAAAGAAAACUGUUUUCUUUAAUUAUUAUUCAAGGCUUUCAGGAAAAUUAUUGGUAUCAUCCCAUGGGAAAUUACAUGUUUACCACUUUUAUGCGACAACUUUUCAUUUUUACCACCACUAAAAUGACAUUUUCAAAAAUACCUUCUUCAUUAAUUGGCAAAAGACUCUUAUGCCAUUAUUCUUUAUAUAUAUAAUAAAUAAAUAUUUCAAUAAAUAAAAAUUCAAAAAACUAAAAAUAAUUUUUUUUAAGUUUUUUUCGAAUUAUACUAUUUCGAAAUUUAAACCCUAAACUCGAAAACUCAACUCUAAACCCUAAACCAUCAAUCUUAAACCCUUUUUUUUUAAAUACGAACCCUAAACCCUGAAACAUGAACUCUAAACCCUAAACCCCGAAACAUCAACUCUAAACCCUAAACCCUAAACCUUCAUCUCUAAACCCUAAAACAUCAACUUUAAACCCUAAACCCUAAACUUCAACUCUAAACCCUAAACCAUCAACACUAAACCCUAAACUAUCAACACUAAACCCUAAACCCUAAAAGUAAACCCUAAACCCUAAACCCUAAAAAAUUAAACCUAAGCCCUAAAACAUCAACUCUAAACCCUAAAACCUAAACAUUCAACUCUAAACCCUAAACCCUACAUCCUAUAUCCUAAACCCUAUAUCCUAAACCCUAAGUUGAUGUUUUAGGGUUUAGAUUUGAAGGUGUAGGGUUUUAGGGUUUAGGGUUUAUGUUUAGGGUUUAGAGUUGAUGUUUUAGGGUUUAGAUUUGAAGGUUUAAGGUUUUAGGGUUUAGGUUCGAAUUUCAGAAAAAUAUAGGGUUUAGGGCUUAUGUUUAGGGUUUAUAGUUGAUGUUUUAGGGUUUAUAGUUGAUGUUUUAGGGUUUAGGGUUUAGAGUUGAUGUUUCGGGGUUUUGGAUUUUGAGUUGAUGUUUCAUGGUUUAGGGUUUAGGGUUUAGAGUUGAUGAUCUAGGGUUUAAAAUUGAUGUUUUAAGUUCAGAUUUAGAGUUUAGGGUUUACGUUUAGGGUUUAGAGUUGAUGUUUUAGGGUUUAGAUAUGAAGGUUUAGGGUUUAGAGUUGAUGUUUCGGGGUUUAGAGUUGAUGUUUUAGGGUUUAGAUUUGAAGGUUUAGGGUUUAGAGUUGAUGUUUCGGGGUUUAGAGUUGAUGUUUCGGGGUUUAGAGUUUAGAGUUGAUGUUUUAGGAUUUAGAGUUGAUGUUUUAAGUUUAGAUUAGUUAACAAUAUGUGUUUUUUGUCAAACUUAAUUUAAAGGUUAUAAAUGUCUUUUACCCUUCAUUAAAGAUGAAGGUAAAAAUGAUUAGUGUAAACAUGAAAAGUGGUACUUUGACAGAAAAAUAUAGGGUUUAGGGCUUAUGUUUAGGGUUUAUAGUUGAUGUUUUAGGGUUUAUAGUUGAUGUUUUAGGGUUUAGGGUUUAGAGUUGAUGUUUCGGGGUUUUGGAUUUUGAGUUGAUGUUUCAUGGUUUAGGGUUUAGGGUUUAGAGUUGAUGAUCUAGGGUUUAAAAUUGAUGUUUUAAGUUCAGAUUUAGAGUUUAGGGUUUACGUUUAGGGUUUAGAGUUGAUGUUUUAGGGUUUAGAUAUGAAGGUUUAGGGUUUAGAGUUGAUGUUUCGGGGUUUAGAGUUGAUGUUUUAGGGUUUAGAUUUGAAGGUUUAGGGUUUAGAGUUGAUGUUUCGGGGUUUAGAGUUGAUGUUUCGGGGUUUAGAGUUUAGAGUUGAUGUUUUAGGAUUUAGAGUUGAUGUUUUAAGUUUAGAUUAGUUAACAAUAUGUGUUUUUUGUCAAACUUAAUUUAAAGGUUAUAAAUGUCUUUUACCCUUCAUUAAAGAUGAAGGUAAAAAUGAUUAGUGUAAACAUGAAAAGUGGUACUUUGAAAAUGAUAUUUUUAGCAAUUUCUCAAAAAUCACAAGGGGACAAUUGAGUUUUUCUAAGACAUUCUAUAUCAUCUAGCUUCAAACUAGGCUAUAUUUUAACAAUAUGGUAUAAUAGCACAAUUACGGUUCGUUAGAGGAUGGCACGGGAAUGGAGUGCAAGCCAAGAGAAGACCAUAAAAGCGACACCAAAAAGGCACCCUACGCCUAUUGUACCUGAGAACUGUUCUAUACUCCGCACGGAUGCGGCGUGGAGAGCGACAAAUCAACAGGCAUGACUGGGUUGGAUCAUCAAACAUCAGAUGAGCACUAGAUCGGGCUCGUUGGCGGUUUCGUCAGUAGGAUCAGCGCUCUCAGCAGAAGGGAUGGCAAUGAGAGAAGCACUAUCUGAGUGUAGACGAUCGAGGAUAAUAAGAUUAGUCUGCGAAUCUGACUCUACCCAAUUGGUUAAAGCGCUCACUGGCAAGGAGGUUCCCUUGGAGCUAUAUGGGAUUGUGGCCGACAUUGUUGAGCAUGGUUGUCAUUUUGAACGUAUUUCUUUUCGAUGGAUCUCUAGAGAGAAAAACUCUGAAGCUGAUGCAUUAGCAAAACAGAGUCUUGUAGAUGGUGAGGUCUUAAUGGCUAUCACCUAACUUUAAGUUGGCAUUAAUAUAAGUUGUGUUUCCAAAAAAAAAAGAUACCAUUUUCUAGAUAAUAUUGUUGGCUAGUAGUUGAAAUAAAAAAAGAUAUGUACUUAUUUUAGCAAAAGAAGAAAGAUAUGUCAAAAAAAAGAAAAAGAAAGAUAUGUACUUGUUUUUUUGUAAAAACAAAUGUACUUGUUUUUUUGUAAAAACAAAUGUACUUGUUUGACAAAAGAAAUGUACAUUACCUCAAAACCAAAUGCAUUAAAAAAGAUUUGUAUAAAAUUGAAACGUUACGCAUGUAUUGUAGUAGUUUUUUUUUUAAAUUAGUAUUCAUGUAAGAUCCAUAUUCAUUACUUUAAAUAAAUGGUUUUUUUUAUCGGCGAAGUUUUUUAAGAUAAUGUCACUUGAGGACUAAUCAAUCAUAUUUGUUAACUCACUCGAGUGACCAAUGUUAGUUAGCCAACUUUGAAAGUAAUUUAGAAAUUAAAAUCCCUUUUUGACAAAUAAGAAAUAAAGAAAUAUUAAUGAUUAAAGACUGUCAGCUUUCUACUAUUUGUUUGCUAAAAGAUAUAAAAAAUGUGAUCAUUUUCGUUGGGUUUGAACGCAAGUUUGCACAUAAAAUUAGAAAAGAAGAAUACAAACCGGCAUGCCAACUUGACUUUUGUCAGCUUUCUACUUUGCAGACAUAAAAAUCAUUCCGACUUAAUCCCAACACAUUCUUAUACAAAACCUUUUUCUUUCUUAUAUUUUUACUGUAUAUGUAUCUUAUAGAAUUUGUGGUUCAUUUUUAAGUUACCUUGUGCACCAAGGUUUCGCAUGCUUAGCAAUUUUCAGUGAAUUAUAAGAUCUAUCUAAAUAAAUUUUCAUAAUACACACCAAAUUCAGAAUUAAAAACCUCUACAAUAAUCUAGAGAAUUUGAAUGGUUUGAAGAAAGAAAAGAGAGAUUAUCGGACUCUUAUGAACUCAAUGAUUGACCGACGGUGAGGAAAUAAAAAACUAGAGCAUCUGAUACUAUCUUGUACUUAAAGAUAUCUAAUACUUUAGCUUUCUCUUACUGUACUAUUUAGUAUCCCUUGGUUCUCUUUAAAAUAUAAAUUAUUAUAAACUAAUAAAUACAUAAAAUAAAUUUUAAUGUUAAAACAGUUUAUUUAUUUAAUAGACUUUUUUUUAAAAAAUGUAGAGAGUAAUUUUACACUGACUUACAGAGAUACUGAUGUAUAACACAUGAUUAAAAUUAAUGUAGAUGCAUACCAAAUUUUUAAAAGAAAGAAGGAGAUCUUAAAUGGAAUUUUUGGUUUGCGUAUUUAGUAAAUUUAGAAAUUCAAACGGUAUUUAGUGUUGUUCGUUUUAUGAUUUUUUGUUUUAAAAUAAUGUAGGAUUUCUUUUGUGGUUUAUAAAUUCUAGUUGAAAUCAUGUAUAUUAUUCAAUCAUAAAAAAUUACUUAAAAGGUAUAAUAGAUUUUAGUGUUUUUAAAUAAUUUUUUUAUUAAAAUAAGACCUAAAUCUGAGAGAAAAUGUUCCAAAAUUUGUAAAUAUUAAUUCACAGGGUUGAUUUGGCUAUCAGUAUAUUUGUAUGAAUUUGUAAAUUUUAUAUGAACAUUUUAAAUUUAAUAAAAUAUAUAAAUGAAUAAACAAUGGAUAUGAAAUUUUUUAUAUAAAUAUAGUCUAUAUGAAUUGCAAAUGAUAUGCAAUUUUCUCAAAGAUUAUUGGAGGUAAAAGACACAUGGUAAUGUAAGAUGAAGACGAAAAGAUAAAUACUUCAAAUGUAGACCACACAAUUACUAGCAACAAACAAAAAUGUUCCUUUUGCAACUUUCUUCUAUAUGUAAACAUAAAUCUAAAGACUCUCUUCUUUGUGAAAUGAUACUUUGUUAAUCACAACCACACGAUUAACUAUAACGAACCGUUCAAAGUUGUCAAAUUGUCAAUAUCAAUUAGACCUUACUUAUUUAUCUUGGCUUAACUUAAACUAAACCAUUAUCAAUCUAGGGGAAAAAAUGAUCAAACUGGGAAAAUUUUUUGUCACAGGAACUAAACAGUGUGUGUUUUUAGUUAAGUGUAGUGUUACUUAUUUGAUCCCUCUUUUUACAAACAUCAAAAUUUUAUUAUCUUCUUCUAGGACAGACUAAAAUACUGGGAUCGAAAGAACUUAACCAAAUCCGAUCUGAAAAAAUUGUAAACCAAAAAUUGUAAUCUUUAAAAAAAAAAUCAGGGCCUUAAAUCUUUAGGGGGUGUUAUUGGUUUAUGUAUUUUAAUGGAUUGGAAAAUCCAAACCAAAUACAGUGUUAUUGGUUUUAUGAUUUUAAAAUCUAUAUUCAAAUAUAGAGUUAUUGGUUUUAUGAUUUUAAAAUAAAUUUCAAAAUCUAGUGUUAUUCAAAAACAAAGAUUUAUUUAAGGAUUUGAUUUGAAAUUGGAUUUGAGUGGAUUUAUCCAUGUUUUUAGAGUAAAAAUAUAAAGAAGCAAAUAUUGAGUUCAACCUUGUUAUUUUGAUUGGAUUUGUAAUAUUUUUUUCCACUUCUUUACAUUUGGACAAGUUUUCACGUACAUAAUACGUUUUCUAUUUGUCAACCCCGUCAAUAUCCCUAAACCUAUGUAUUCAGUCAAUAUAUUAUUAUCGCGUUCAUCAUUACCUUCUACUCUCUGAGUAACAAAUGAAUUCUCAACUUGUUCAAUUUAUUAUAAUCACCGGUAAUAGUUCAAAGUUUUGAGUUAUAUUCUCUUGUAUGUAAUUAACUAGCUUUGGACCUUCCUAAAUGUUACCUUGUCACUUUCCAACACUAAGCAACAAAAAUUAGUAUAUUCGAACAAUUUCUCUGUUCCAAAACAUUUUCCCUCAUGAACUAGUAAGGUCAUUAUUUAGGUCUAGUUACAAUUCACCUAUUUUGAAUUAUUAAAAUACAUCAAAGUCUCGUCCCACUUAAUUGUAAUAACUCGUUGCUUAGUCGAUUGGAUCCACUUUAUUAAUCUAUUUUAUUGAUUCAAUCUAGUUACUUGCUCGAUUGAAUCCAUUUUAUAGAUUUAUAACAAUUCACCAUUUUUGAUUUUGAAACUCAUAUAAAUUAUUCCUAAAUCCACUUGUUGAUUUUUAAAAUCUUGGAUUUACCAAAGAUUUUUAAAUCUAUUGAAAAUCCAUUAAAAUACUAAAACCAAUAACCCCUACUUAAUGCUUAAACUCUUUUUUGGACAUUUAAUUUUUUUCAAAAAAAAUGUCUUAGCCAAAAUACUUUGUUAACUCAAAAAAUAAUUAUAGAUUUUUCUGUAAUCUUUUUUUUUUUUAAGUUCAAGUUUUUUUAACUAAUUGUUUUUAACAACUAUCUUUAGAAAAAAAAAAUUAAAAUGUGUUUGGAUGAUGAGAAAUUGCCAAAAAUAUCAUUUUCAAAGUACUACUUUUCAUGUUUACACUAACCACUUUUACCCUCAUCUUUAAUGAAGGGUAAAAGACAUUUAUAACCUUUUGAUUAAUUUUGACAAAAAAAAAAAUAUGGUUAACGUAUCUAAACUUAAAACAUCAACUCUAAACCCUAAAUCAUCAACUCUAAACCAUGAAACAUCAACUCUAAACUCUAAACUCUAAACCCUAAACCCUAACCCCAAAACCUUCAAAUCUAAACCCUAAAACAUCAACUCUAAACUCUAAACGUAAACCUUAAACCCUAAAUUUAAACUUAGAAUAUCAACUUUAAACCCUAAAUCAUCAACUCUAAACACUAAAUCAUCAACUCUAAACUCUAAACCCUAAACCCUAAACCCUAAACCUUCAAAUCUAAACCCUAAAACAUCAACUCUAAACCUUAAACGUAAACCUUAAACCCUAAAUCUAAACUUAAAACAUCAACUUUAAACCCUAAAUCAUCAACUCUAAACACUAAACCAUGAAACAUCAACUCUAAACCCUAAAGCGCGAAAUAUCAACUCUAAACCCUAAACCCUAAACCUUCAAAUCUAAACCCUAAAACAUCAACUCUAAACCCUAAAUAUAAACCCUAAACCCUAAAACCUAUAUUUUUCUGAAAAUCGAACCCUAAACCCUAAAACCCUAAACCUUCAAAUCAAAACCCUAAAACAUCAACUUUAAACCCUAAACAUAAACCUUAAACCCUAAACCCCUAAACCUUCAAAUUUAAACCCUAAAACAUCAACUCUAGGGUUUUAUGGUUUAGGGUUUAGGAUUUAGGGUUUAGGGUUUAGGGUUUAGAGUUAAAGGUUUAGGGUUAGAGUUGAUGUUUUAGGGUUCAGGGUUAAUUUUUUAGGGUUUAGGGUUUAGAGUUUACUUUUUAGGGUUUAGGGUUUAGUGUUGAUAGUUUACGGUUUAGUGUUGAUGGUUUAGGGUUUAGAUUUGAAGGUUUAUGGUUUAGGGUUUAGAGUUGAUAUUUUAGGGUUUAGAGUUGAAGGUUUAGGGUUUAGGGUUUAGGGUUUAGAGCUGCUGUUUCGGGGUUUAGGGUUUAGAGUUGAUGUAUUUAAUGAAGAAGAUAUUUUUAAAAAUGUCCAUUUAAUGGUGGUUAAAAUGAAAAAUGAUAGUACGAAAGUGGUAAACAAGUAAUGUCUCCGUGAUUUUUAGUAAAUUAAGCUAUGUAAACUUAACGAGAAUAAAAGAAAAGAAAAUCUUUACACGCACGUUAUUGCUUUUUUUUUUUACUGUAGUGGAGUUGGCAAAGUAGCCAGAGAGUGUUUUGUGUGUGAGGGAAAGAUCAAAGAUGAGUUUUGCUAAAUGACAUUUUCUGAUAUCCACAUCUUUUAAUUAAUAUUUACAAAUCCGAAAUUUUCUCUCAGAUUUAAUUCUCAUUUUAAUAAAGAUUACUUCUAAAUACAAUACAUAAAUUAUGAAGUUAUUUCUGUAUGACUGAAUAAUAUAUGAUUUGAAUUGGAAUUUAUAAUCACAAAAUAGAAACACAUUAUUUUAAAAUAAAUUUUAAAAUCAUAAAAAGAACAGUACUAAGUUUUGUUUGAAUUUUAAAAUCUAUUAAUAUACGCAAACCAAAAAUUUCAGUUAAGAUCUUCAUCUUCUUUUUUUUAAUAGAAUUUUCUAUGUAUCUAAUAUUAAUCUAAUUUUAGUAAUGUGAUAUACAUCAGUAUAAUCAAAUACCUAAGCCAAACAUUUAUAUCCAUUAAUAUCUAAUCUUAUAUAUUAAAACAGAAGUCACAACUUUGAUUCAUUUGUGAUUUUUUAAAAAAUAGACCUAAUAGACAUAUUCCUAAAAAAAUCAUGUUACAUUUAAUCUCUAAUCUUAUCAUUUAAAUUUUAGACCUACCAGAAAUUUUUAUUGGGCUAUCAAUAAUUGGAUUUAAACAAUAGAUGCUCCGUUGGAUUUAUGGUAUAAAUUAAAUAGAUAUAAUUUAAUGUUGUAAUACUAUACCUCCAUAUGUUAAUUAUUUAAAUAUUUGUCGAUAUUAAUUUUUAAAAUUAUAAAGAUUCAUUUUUAAAUAAAAAAACAUCAUAUUAUCUAACAAUGAUUAAUAUUUACUACAUUAAACCAAUGAAAACAAAUUUAAAACUAUAUAGUUUAUUUUAAAAAUUAAACAAAAACUAAAUGUUUAAUUAUUUACUCGAUAAUAUAAAUCAAUGAAACGAAAAGUUUAAUUUUUAGAAAACUUUCUAAAUUUGUGAAAUGUUAUAAUAUCUUUGAAUAUGACAAUAAAAAAAUAUUUUACUAAUCUUUAUAUAUAUAGUUACGAUUUUAAUAAUGAAAAAAUAAUCUAAAAAUAUAUAUAUAUAAAAAAUAUACAAAUACAUGUGAAAGUUUGAAAAAAUUUAUUCAAUGAAAAAAAAUAUACCGUAAACUUAUUAUGUUUUAAAAAUUGAUAUACACAUAUAUAUUAUAAUAUAUACCAAUUUAGAAUUGAAAAACAAAUUAUAUAAAAAUAAUUGAAACAAAAACCUGUGCGGUUGCGCGAAUCGAGAUCUAGUAUUAUCUAAAAGUGAAUUACCCUAAUAUAUUUUGUAUCUAAAAUAAUUUAAACUAUCUGAACAACCUUGAUAUUUGUUUUUAACAACUAUAUUUAUUUAUUCAUAAAAUGUGAAAUUACAUAAACUCCAAAGAGAAACAAGAAAACAAUGAAAUACAUAAUUAAUAUAAAGGAACAACAAUACAUAUAAAAAUAUCAAGUUGUUAAAAUAUCGUAAGAGAUCGAGUGUGAAUAAUCAGAAGAAAACUGACAGAGUUGUUAUAAAAGUAAUGGAAAACUCUAUCUUUAUUCAUAACAUAGAUGUUUCUUAUAUAGAAGAUUAUACCGUCAUAGAUAAAUGGAAAUAUUACAAAUCAUAAUCUCUUGGUUAUGAGCCAUCCACAAUCUGGUUCAUAACACUCCCUUUUGGAUGCCAUAACCAAUUAGAGUUGGUAAUGUGCUUUAAUGUUGCCUCAUUAAAACCUCACCAGGAAAACCCAAUUGGGACAAAACCAUGGUGAAGGAAAAAUAAUAUAACACACAUUACUCCCCCUGAUUUGGACAUUACUGAAGGUCCCUUGGACCUCUCCAAUUUUCUGCAAUCCGUGGGUGAUGAAGAUCUUGGGCAGAAUAUGCUUCGUUCUCGAACAUGAUAGUUGGUUCUUCUUUACCAUCAGCCAUGCCACAAUCUGAUCGAACAUAUUGAGUCAUCGACCUCAAAUACACACACGAAAUCUUGGAUGAUGUUGUUGUGAUAUGCGUGUACCACCAUGUGUGAAACAUAACCUGUCUGAAAACAAAUCAACAAAACCAAAUAACCCCUCUUUGGGCUGGUUAUUAUAAAAUAAACCAAAAUCAAAGGUUUCUUCAUCGUCCUUCUUAUGGACCAAUCAGAUCAGUGUCUAAAACAAGACUUCUGCAUCGUCCAUCUCAGGACUAAAUGGACUUCUUUAUCGUCCACCUUUGGACUGAAUGGAUCAGUGUCCAAAACAAGUGAUCUCACGCCCAUGUACUAGAUAAUGGGUGAGACUGGUCCAUAUUAAAUCUCUUGAGUACCCUUUUCUGUAUAUACUAUUUGAUGCACAAGGAUUUCAUUGUUAAUGUACUCAAGCUGUAAUCCCAAACAAAACUUUGUUUUCCAAGAUCUUUCAUCUCAAACUCUUUCUUGAGAUAUUCAACUGUUUGGGAAAUUGUAUCCAGAGGUUCCUAGGAUAUUCAGAUCAUAUACUUUGAUGAUUAUCAAUAUUGUUCUCGAGAACUUGCUGUACUUUCAGCUCAAUACCCUCUAGUACUUUCAUUAUCCAGUGGACCAUAUAAAUAUGCAGUCACUACAUCAACUUGUUGCAAGUCUAAUUUUCUCUCUUAUAUAGCCAGACUUAUGAGAAAUCUAAAAGUAGUUGCAUCCACCACAUGGGAGUAUGUCUCCUCAUAAUCUAUUACUGGUCUUUGUGAGAAUCCUUGUGCAACAUCAGCUUUAUAUCUCACGAUUUCUAUUCCUCACAAGACCCAUUUAUAUCCACUGGUUUUAACAUCAUAUGGCGUCUUAAUCAUAUGGCCAAAUACGCCUUUCUUCUUUAAACUAUUUAACCCCACGUUUCCAUUCAAUCCAAUCUGUUCUACGAGUGCGCACUCUUAUAUUGACGUGGGUUCAUGAUCCUCGCUUAUAUUCAUAAAUUCAAGUGCUACCUUGUAUGCAAAUAAAUCAUCUUAUGUCGACAUUCCUUAUUGGUUCCAUUAUGUUCCAGACAUGAUAUAAUCGAUUGAGAUUCAUUAUUAUCAUGACCUUUAAUACUUUGCAUCUUGGCAUCCCAAGCUACAUUGUUUGGUACCUGUGCCUUAGAGCCGGCCGGCCUUAUCUCCAUGUUUGGAAUGGUUUCCUUAGUAACCUCAGAUUUAGAUUUUGAUUAUCAUUCUCUGCACCUUUCUUUUAUUUCCGAGGAUUCUUAUCUUUUGGAACCUAUUGGUCUACAACGUUUCAUACGUUGUUUAGACACUGUAGCAACUUGACUGUGUCUCUUCUUGGACAUCAAAUUCGUUGGUGCUUUACAAGCUGGUUUAUAUAUGACUUAGUCAUUCUUUUUCGGGUCAGCAAAUGUGUCUGGCAUUUGAUUAGCUAGCUUUGUAAAUGUAUAAUCUUUGGACGUCUAUUUCACAUUCUUUAGUCCGAGGAUCUUGCCAAGANNNNNNNNNNNNNNNNNNNNNNNNNNNNNNNNNNNNNNNNNNNNNNNNNNNNNNNNNNNNNNNNNNNNNNNNNNNNNNNNNNNNNNNNNNNNNNNNNNNNNNNNNNNNNNNNNNNNNNNNNNNNNNNNNNNNNNNNNNNNNNNNNNNNNNNNNNNNNNNNNNNNNNNNNNNNNNNNNNNNNNNNNNNNNNNNNNNNNNNNNNNNNNNNNNNNNNNNNNNNNNNNNNNNNNNNNNNNNNNNNNNNNNNNNNNNNNNNNNNNNNNNNNNNNNNNNNNNNNNNNNNNNNNNNNNNNNNNNNNNNNNNNNNNNNNNNNNNNNNNNNNNNNNNNNNNNNNNNNNNNNNNNNNNNNNNNNNNNNNNNNNNNNNNNNNNNNNNNNNNNNNNNNNNNNNNNNNNNNNNNNNNNNNNNNNNNNNNNNNNNNNNNNNNNNNNNNNNNNNNNNNNNNNNNNNNNNNNNNNNNNNNNNNNNNNNNNNNNNNNNNNNNNNNNNNNNNNNNNUUCCUCCAAUCAAAUAGGGCCUUUGGUAAUAACACUGUUCUUUGGUGAUCAUAUCUCAAUUUUUAACUCUGUCCAAAGGUCUAGAGGAUUCUCUAUAGUCAGAUACUGAUCUUUGAAACUCUUAAUAAGACGAUGGCUAAUAAUAAAUAUUUCCAUGUAUCAAUCUUUCUCAUUGGCAUUAUUGCCUUCUAUGAUACAUUCACCAAGUCUUUUUGACUUUGGGAUAAUCUUUGUAUCCAAUGCCCACCGUAAAUAAUUAUCUCCAGAGAGAUUUAGGGCAGCAAAAUCCAGGUUGAUUUUCGACAUCUCAAAUCAUAUAUCACUCAAUAUUUAGGUAUAAUUUUCAUGCGGCCUUACUCUUAAAAACAAUCAAUUCGGAUUUCAAUCUUGUGAGGACAAUGAGACUAUCAAUCUUAAAGACAUUUAAUCAAUCAGACAAUUUCUAGCAAGUCUCAGCAAUACUAUUUCUUUGUGCUCAUAAUAUUAUGGUUUAUCAAGACUAGCAAAAACGGAUUCAAUUAAUCAUGCAAUUUGGGUUUAACAAUCAAUGGAUUUUAGCAAGACUAGUAAAAAGAUUUAUUAAUCACUCAAUCAGUUUCAAUGCUGAUUUUAGAAAUACUAGAAUAUAAAUUUCAAGCAUGAAUUUCAAUGAAUCAGUUUCAAGGCUGAUUGGUAUUUAGCAUAAACCAUGUGUAAAUAAUUUAUCUAGUAUCCGAAUUUAUCAAACCUCAAAAACAUAUAAUCAGAUCAAUCAAUUUAAUCGAACUUAGCAUACAAUCUUAAACCUCAAGACAUUAGAUUUUAUCAUGAAUCUAUCAACCUAGCAUACGGAUUCUCAAUUCUCAAAGACAUCCAAAUCAGAUCAAUAUAACCUAUCAUACAGAUUAUUUAGGGUUUCUAUUUAAAACAGAUCAGAUUACAAAACUAUCAAUCCUAGCAGAUAAUAUUAAACCUAAAGAAUCAUACAAUCAGAUCAUUCGGAUUUUAAAAAAGUAAACCUUAAUCAAUCUAUCAACCUAUCGGAUUAUAUAAGCAAAGGAAGCUAGCAACCUAUCGGAUUCAAUCAGUGUUUUAACAGGCUGAUCGGUUUAAACAAUUUUAAAUCAGAUGAACAAUUAACCAAGCAGGAUGAGAAAAUAAAUCUAUCAAUUUAACGGUCAAACAAUUCUAGCAACAUAGCAUCAGAUUCAAUCAGAUUUAAAACCUCAAUGAUCAAAACCGAAAACAGUUUUGAUUUCAAAAUAUUCGAUUAGGGUUUUAAUAUGUGAUUUGAUAAUUAUAGUAUAAUUAAUUCUGAUACUUAUAUUAUUUAGGGUUUAUAGAUAUAGGGUUAGGGUUUAUCGGAUUUUAACUUGUAAAAACCGAUUUGGGGUUUUAAUCAUGUAGGAACAUGAUUUAGGGUUUGGGGUAUCGAACUUUUAGAGCUUCGAUUUACUCAAUUAGGAUUUUUGAUCUAUUACCCUAUGGUUUUGAUUCAUAAAGAUUAGGGUUUUAGGGUUUCAUUCUUUAUCAAUCAAUCCAUGUUCGAUUAUGGGUUCUUAGGUUUUGAAUUACCUUUUAACCUUAGAUGAUUGUUGAAUCGGACCACCAAAGGAGUUGAGCCGCGAGCUGGACACGAACGGGACGCGAGCUGGAAUGGAUCGAGUCGCUUCUAUCGGGUCGCGGACGUCCUUUGUUGCUUGAUCGGGAACGCCUUGAUCGUCGGACGCGAGCUGUCUGAUGCUGUCGCGAACGAGGAAGAGGUCGCGUGCUGGAGCUGCUCUCGGGUCGCGAACGUCUGAGCUAGGAUCAGGAACGCCUUGGGCUGAAGCUGAUCGGGGACGCGAGCUGGAACAGAUGCGGGAACAAGAGACGCGAUCGGAGUUUAGGGUUCGUCGGAUCGCCGACUAGGGUUAGGGUUUUAGGGUUUUUCGAUUUUGGUAUUAGCUUAGGGAUUUAAAGUUUCGUGCUGAUAACGUGUUAUAAAAGUAAUGGAAAAGUCUAUCUUUAUUCAUAACAUAGAGGUUCCUUAUAUAGGAGAUUACACCGUCAUAGAUAAUUGGAAAGAUUACAAAUCAUAAUUUCUUGGUUAUGAGCCAUCCACGAUCUGGUUCAUAACCAGAGUUAAUUUGUUUGAAGCUGGAUGACAUACAGAUUAACAACAUUGAUAUUUUUAUCUGGGAGUACAUCUUAUUUUAUUUAAAAACUUGAAAUAUUCGAUACUUUUACUGGAAUAAUCCAAAUUAUCCACCUUUUGUACUUUUACGAGACAUUGUAUUUUUCAUAAUUUUAUCGUUUCGUACUUUGAUUGUUCGUCGCAUUAGAACCUCAGUUGGGUCAAAGCAUGACGUGUUUCUUUCGCUAUCCAAGUUUUUCAAUAUUAAAUAUAUUCAUGAUGAGUCUAAGGUUUUGGAACAAGAACGUUGUAACACCCGUAUUUUCCGAAAUAAUUUAAUGAAUAAUAAAUCUAAAAUCUCCAUUUAUUACUUCUCAAAAGUCAAUUCCAAAAUCGUAAAUCCAAUAAAUGGCAAUCCAAAUAAUAUAAUAAAUCUUGAAGAUAUCGAUAAAAUUAUAAAAACCGCAAGUCUAAAAAUGAAAGAAAUAAAACUCCCAAAGCACCAAUCCGAUAGCAAUCACUCCUGCUCGUUAGUCUCACCUGAAAGGGGGAAAGAAGAAGGGGUGAGUAACAAGGGAGUUACUCCGUGAGGUAUGAGAUGCUAAACCACAAACCACUGAUUCAGUACAUAGCACUACGACUUUGUAAGCCUAGCUCUAGCAUGAAACAAACACGGUGUCUAAUACACCGCAUAAAACAUCAAAUGCGCUGAUAGUGCAUAACUAGAUCACACACCCGGCAUUCUCCUUAUACGGAUAUAAAUAUAUAACUCUAUGCGACGCUAGUACAAGAGUCCAUCCUUGUACCCCGCAAUCACCUAUGCGCCGCUAGUACAAACAUCUUUGUACCCCGCAAUCUCCAUACAAUGCGCCGCUAGCAUAGACGUCCAUAUGCCCCGCAAUCUCCAUACAAUGCGCCGCUAACACAAACGUCUUUGUGUCCCGCAAUCUCGACACAAUGCAUCGUUAGCACAACAUCUUUGUGCCCCGUAAUCUCAUAACAGACUUAUGUAUACAUAUAUAAAUAACAGUCUUUAAUUCAUUCAAUUCAGUCAACCGUUGAAUCCUCUAUUAUCCUAUUUCCGGUUUAACAAUCAAUAGUAAUAAUAAACAAACAAGACUCUCAAACAGACUCAAUUCACAGACACAGAUCAUGUUUCGAAACUAAGCUUUCAAUAAUAGUAGUACAAAACUAGCUUGUGAUUUAAUGGGAUAACCCUCACCUUAACCAUAACGGAAAACCAGAAACGGAUCCGACAAUAAACAAGAUGACUUGAUCAACAAGAAAGCUAAGGUUUCACCAUAGAUCUCAAUCUCGAUCUCGUCAACGACACACCAGAGCGGAAAAGAAUAGAAGCAAAACAAUAAGACAUGAUUAAAAUAUAUUUAAUUUAGGAUUUAAGAAACUUGCAACACAAGAAAUUAAUAUAGUUUCUUUUAACCUUCACGGCUUGGAAUCAUAGUGGCAGAUCCCAGCCCCAAAAGUGCAUGGUCCUCUCCGAUGACUCACAGUUGAUGAUAACAGCUGGUCGGAUUGAAACGGUGGCCCCGGUCGUGGUGAUCCGUGCCGAUGGUGUCAAGAUGCGAUGACUCCUGCUCGUACGUCUUCCUCAAUGCACUAACGUAUCAGCAACCAUAGAAGAAAGAUAACUUGAGGGAGGAGAUGAAGGAGGAGCACGUGUGUGGAGGUGGAGAGGAAGAGAGAUAAUCAAAGGAGAUGAUAGCAAUGACGGCUCCACUCUCGACAAAUCUCUACUAAUAAAAGGGACCUUUCGAGACUCCUUAGAGCGUCCACAUCAGCCGAAAAAAACUUAUUCCUAAAGAUGACACAUGGCAUAAAAUAUAGUUUUACAUUUUAAUAUUACUAAUUUUCGAAAAUUAUAAAUAAUAUGUAAACAUACAGCAUAAAAAAUGAAAAAAUUACAUUAAACAUAUGUAAGAUUACCAUUUUUCACUUGAAAAAAGACGGCUUAUCUCCGUAAUGUAGCAUUACCGUUUUAUAAAAAAAAUAAAAAAUAUUAUAUAUAAUUUCGAAAAUAAUAAAUAUAUGUAAACAUACAACAAAAAAAAUAGAAAUACUACAUUAAACAUAUGUAAGAUUACCAUUUUACAUUUUUAUUUUUAAAAAAUAAUAUGUAAACAUACAACAUAAAAAAAAAGGAACCUUUUGAGGCUCCAUAGAGCGUCCACAUCAGCAAAAAAACUUCUUCCGAAAGAUGACACGUGGCAUAAAAUAUAGUUUUACAUUUUAAUAUUACUAAUUUUCAAAAAUUAUAAAUAAUAUGUAAACAUACAGCAUAAAAAAUGAAAAAACUACAUUAAACAUAUGAAAAAUUACCAUUUUUCACUUAAAAAAAAGACGGCUUAUCCAAGUAAUGAAUAUCUUGGAUUGAUUUUCAAAAAAAUGAAAAAACUACAUUAAACAUAUGAAAAAUUACCAUUUUUCACUUAAAAAAAAGACGGCUUAUCUUCAUAAUGUAACAUUACCGUUUUAUAAAAAAAACAAAAAACAUUAUAUAUAAUUUCGAAAAUAAUAAAUAUAUGUAAACAUACAACAUAAAAUAUGGAAAUACUACAUUAAACAUAUGUAAGAUUACCAUUUUACAUUUUUAUUUUUAAAAAAUAAUAUGCAAACAUACAACAUAAAAAAUGGAAAAACUACAUUAAGCAUAUGUAAGAUUACCAUUUUUCACUAAAAAAAAGACGGCUUAUUUCCAUAAUGUAACAUUACUAUUUUGUAAAAAAAAAACAUUAUAUAUAAUUUCGAAAAUAAUAAAUAAUAUGUAAACAUACAGCAUAAAAAAAGGAAAUACUACAUUAAACAUAUGUAAGAUUAUCAUUUUACAUUAAAAAUAACAAUAAUAUAUAAACAUACAACAUAAAAAAAAGGAAAAACUAUAUUAAACAUAUGUAAGAUUACCGUUUUUCACUAAAAAAAAGGCUUAUCUCCAUAAUGUAACAUUACCAUUUUAUAAAAAAAAAACAUAAAUAUAACUAUUUGACUAUUUGUCCAAGUUCUUGUAUUAAACAUUUGCCGUUUUACAUUAAAAAUGAAAAAAACAUUAAGAUUUAAACAUUUAUCUUAAAAUAUAAAAUAUAGAUAUUAACUAAAUAUAAAGUAUAAGAAAGAGAAAUACUCAAUAUAUAGAAAAAUAAAUAAUAAGUAAAUAUUAUAAAUAUAUAAAUAUAUGAAUUAUAUAUACAAUAAUAAGUAAAUGCACAAUUUUUAAAAUAUGGAAAGAGUACAUUAAAUAUUAAACAUAUAGAUAUUAAGUAAAUAGAAAGUAUAAAAAAAAAGAAAUACACAACUUAAAAAAAAUAGAAAAAGUAUAUUAAUAUUUAAACAUCUAUCUUAAAAUGUAAAAUAUAGACAUUACGCAAAUAGAAAGUAUAAGAAAAGGAAAUACACAAUUUAAAAAAAUGAAAAAAGUACAUUAGUAUUUAAACAUCUAUCUUAAAAUGUAAAUCUAUCUUAAAAUAUAAAAUUAUUUGUAAAUAGAAAGUAUAAGAAAUAGAAAUACACAUUAUAAAGAAAAAUAAAUAAUAAGUAAAUAUAUGAUAUAAGUAAAUACGCAAUUUAAAAAUGGAAAAUUACAUUAAGAUUUAAAAAUAUAUCUUAAAAUUUAAAAUAUAGAUAUUACGUAAAUAGAAAGUAUAACAAAUGGAAAUAUACAAUUUAAAGAAAAUGGAAAAUGUACAUUAAGAUUUAAACAUCUAUCUUAAAAUGUAAAAUAGAGAUAUUAAGUAAAUAAAAAGUACAUGAAAUGGAAAUACAUAUACAGAAAAAUAAAUAAUAAGUAAAUAAUAUAAAUAUAUAAUAUAUGAAUUAUAUAUAAUAAUAAGUAAAUGAACAAUUUUUUUUAAAAAAUGGAAAAAGUUCAUUAAGCAUUAAACAUCUAUCUUAAAAUGUAAAAUAUAUAAUAUAAGUAAAUACACAAUUUAAAAAAAUGGAAAAAGUACAUUAAGAUUUAAAUAUCUAUUUUAAAAUAUAAAAUAUAGAUAUUACGUAAAUAAAAAAUAUAAGAAAUGGAAAUAAACAUUUAAAAAAAUGGAAAAAGUACAUUAUGAUUUAAACAUCUAUCUUAAAAUAUACAUAUAUCUUAAAAUGGUAGUAAAUUGUAUAAAAAUGGAAAUACCACAUUAAACAAAAAAAAAUGUAUAGUUUUACAUCAAGAAAGUCCCUAUAAAAUUCAUUAUUCCAUCAACAUCAACCUCACACUAUCAAGGAAAACUUCAAAGCACUCGAGCAAAAAAAUGGUUCCACCAUCAACUAUUGCCGUCCCAAAAACCUUUAAUGACCUUGAAGGAGAUUUUUUAUAACAACGAACUUUUUGUUAUGUGAAUUCAUUGUUGGGAAACCCGCAACUUCUAAAAGCCAAACUUAUUCAUGAGAAUUGAAUUGCUUUUCAUAGACUCAAAGGUAUUGUUACAAAUUUAAAUUAAUCUAAUCCAUAAUUUUAUUGUUAAUAUUCAUACUAACUCUUUCAUGAUCAAACCAUUACAGUUAAUAACCAUUCAAGCGUUUAUCCCGAAACACUUCUUUCCACGCCGAAUCAGGUAUUGGUUCAUAUUGGUUUAGUAUUGUUUUUGGUUUAUUAACCGGUUUAGGAUGGUCCUAUUGUAAAUAUAAUUUAAGUUGGUUUAGCAUAUAUUAUGCAUAAAAUAAAUUAAAUUCAAUAAUAGUAAUAUUAUGCUUAAAAUAUAAUUUUAGAGAGUUUUCAAAUAUAGUUUACAGAACAUUAUAGGUGAUGAAUUUAAUUUAUUAAUUUCGUUUAUUACUUAAAACUAAGUUUUUAAAAAAAAAACAUAUUGAGUUAUAAAUAUCAAUGCUGGAUUGGUGAGUAUAACAUGAAGACAAAAAUAUAAAUAUUUCAUUUUCAAGAUAAGAAAUUCAGCUUUUAUUCAGUUACUCAAUAUAUAAUAGCUUAAAUUAUUUUUUAUAAAAAUAUACAUAAUUUAUAUAUAUAUAGAUUAAUCUUCCAAACUUAAACUAUUAUAUUAUUUAUGAAUAUUUUUUUAAAAUAAAAAUAAUUUCUGAUUUAAAAAAAAAUAAAAACAACAAAUGGUUAUUUUCAAAUAAUGGAUGUAAUUUACAUUAUACUAUCAUUUAACAAGUAUUAGAUACGUUUUGAUAUAUCAUUAUUUUCUAUUUCCAGAAAAAAAUAAAUUGUUAAAUAUCAAUAUCAUCUAGGUUAAGUAUACUAACAUCACAAAUUCAAACAUCACAAAAAAUAUUCACAUAAACAUUAUAAUACAAUAAUUUAAUCAAAAAAUACAAUUCAAAAAAACAAUAUUCAAAAGAAUAGUUAUAUACUUAAUAUUUGAAAAUCAAAGAUAUUUUUGCUAAAAUUGUACUUACCUGGCCAAGGAGAUCGACCAUCUUUUUACGGAUCGAUCGAUUGUUGAGCAUGUGGUCGAUCCGAAAAUACUCUGCAGUUUAAUUAAAUAUCUAAAACAUUUAUUCCAACACUCAACAGAUAGUUUUGCUAAAUAUGAUAACUAGAUAGCCAACAAAAUUACAAAAGAAUAUAUUUAAAUAGUAAAAAAUAUGUUAAUUUAACGUGUUAAAAUUUGAAAAUAAAUUUUAAUUAUGACAUGCAUUUUAACAUUGUUGGGAAACCCGCAACUUCCAAAAGCCAAACUUAUUCAUGGGAAUUGAAUUGAUUUUCAUAGACUCAAAGGUAUUGUUACAAAUUUAAAUUAAUCUAAUCCAUAAUUUUAUUGUUAAUAUUCAUACUAACUCUUUCAUGAUCAAACCAUUACAGUUAAUAACCAUUCAAGCGUUUAUCCCGAAACACUUCUUUCCACGCCGAAUCAGGUAUUGGUUCAUAUUGGUUUAGUAUUGUUUUUGGUUUAUUAACCGGUUUAGGAUGGUCCUAUUGUAAAUAUAAUUUAAGUUGGUUUAGCAUAUAUUAUGCAUAAAAUAAAAUAAAUUAAAUAAUAGUAAUAUUAUGCUUAAAAUAUAAUUUUAGAGAGUUUUCAAAUAUAGUUUACAGAACAUUAUAGGUGAUGAAUUUAAUUUAUUAAAUUCGUUUAUUACUUAAAACUAAGUUUUUUUAAAAACAUACUGAGUUAUAAAUAUCAAUACUGGAUUGGUGAGUAUAACAUGAAGACAAAAAUAUAAAUAUUUCAUUUUCAAGAUAAGAAAUUCAGCUUUUAUUCAGUUACUCAAUAUAUAAUAUCUUAAAUUAUUUUUUAAAAAAUAUACAUAAUUUAUAUAUAUAGAUUAAUCUUCUAAACUUAAACUAUUAUAUUAUAUAUGAAUAAUUUUUUUAAAUAAAAAUAAUUUCUGAUUUAAAAAAAAAAUAAAAACAACAAAUGGUUAUUUUCAAAUAAUGGAUAUAAUUUACAUUAUACUAUCAUUUAACAAGUAUUAGAUACGUUUUGAUAUAUCAUUAUUUUCUAUUUCUAGAAAAAAAUAAAUUGUUAAACAUCAAUAUCAUCUAGGUUAAGUAUACUAACAUCACAAAUUCAAACAUCACAAUAAAUAUUCACAUAAACAUUAUAAUACAAUAAUUUAAUCAAAAAAUACAAUUCAAAAAAACAAUAUUCAAAAGAAUAGUUAUAUACUUAAUAUUUGAAAAUCAAAGAUAUUUUUGCUAAAAUUGUACUUACCUGGCCAAGGAGAUCGACCAUCUUUUUACGGAUCGAUCGAUUGUUGAGCAUGUGGUCGAUCCGAAAAUACUCUACAGUUUAAUUAAAUAUCUAAAACAUUUAUUCCAACACUCAACAAAUAGUUUUGCUAAAUAUGAUAACUAGAUAGCCAACAAAAUUAUAAAAAAAAUAUUUAAAUAGUAAAAAAUAUGUUAAUUUAACGUGUUAAAAUUUGAAAAUAAAUUUUAAUUAUGACAUGCAUUUUAAAAUUUAUAUAAAUAUAUAUCAUAACCUAAAUAUAAAUAAUUUAACAACUUAAAUUAGAAAAAAAUAAAAAUUCCGAGCGUAGCCCGGGUUAAUCCCUAGUAAAUAAAAAGAAUAAGGUUUUGAUUCCUUUUAAAUACACACACGCACAAUAAGAAGGAUAUGUAUUUGGUUUAGGAGAUGGUUUGGUUGAAUCCAAAUUAAUUAAAGAAAAAAAAUCAGACCAAUCGGCUAAAGAAACCGGGUCGUUACAAAGGUAUGAAGCAAAAAAACUCAAAUAUUUUUAAAAACAAUCGAUCCCCUAGACUAUAUUUGCGAAAUGAUUUUGCCACACGUCUUUUCUACUAUCAAUUUCACAAAAAAAAUAUGACAUGACAAUUGAAAUUGAUGACAUGUCUUAUAGCUUAAUAUGACAUGGACAAUUGCAUUUAAUGUUAAUUUAUAUUUUUGGUAAACUUUUUAAAAUAUGGUAAUAAUUCAUAUAUUACAUUUAAUGUCAAUUUAUAUUGGGCAAAUCUCCAAAAUAGCACAUUUCUAAGUUUAUAUCACAAAAAUAACACUUCAAAACUAAAAUGACCAAAAUAGCACAUUUCUAAGUUUAUCCUUUGAAAAUUUUAAUUUUUUUAUUUUUCAAAAUUUGAAAUCUUAUCCCCAAAACCUCAUUUCUCAACUCUAAACCCUAAACCCUAAACUCUAAACCGUAAAUCCUAAACUCUAAACCCUAAACCCUAAACCCUAAACCCUAAAUUCUAAACCCUAAACCCUAAAUUCUAAACCCUAAACCCUAGACCCUAAACCCUAAACCCUAAUCUAUAAACCCUAAACUCUAAACCAUAAACCCUAAACCCUAAAUCCUAAACCCCACCCUUUAACUUUAAACCCUAAGUUUGUGACUUUUAAUAAAACAUUAAGUGCUAUUUUUGUGAUUUUUGACCUUGAGUGCUAGUUUGGGAACAAAAACUUGAUUUAGUGCUAUUUUUGUCUUUUUCUCAUUUAUAUUUUAGGAAUUUUUUUUAGAAUAUGGGAAUAACUCAAAACUCAUCAUUAAAAUAAAUAUAUUCAAAUAUGGCAUUAUAAAUUUUGAAAUAUAAUUUAAUUAUAUAUUUUUUAAAUUAUACAAUUUUAUUACUAAAAUUUUCAAAAAUGUAUACAUUUUUUUUAGAAAAUAAUAAAAAUUUAAUUGUAAAAUCAUUAUUUUCUUAUAUGUCUACAAAUUUUAUAAAUGGCAAAUCUCCAAAAUAGCACCUUUCUAAUUUUAUAUCACAAAAAUAGCACUCAAAAACUAAAAUGACCAAAAUAGCACAUUUCUAAGUAUAUCCUUUGAAAAUUUUAAUUUUUUUAUUUUUCAAAAUUUGAAAUCUUAUCCCCAAAACCUCAUUUCUCAACUCUAAACUCUAAACCCUAAACCCUAAACCCUAAACCCUAAACCCUAAAUCCUAAACUCUAAACCCUAAACCCUAAACUCUAAACCCUAAAUCCUAAACCCUAAACCCUAAACUCUAAACCCUAAACCCUAAACUCUAAACCCUAAACCCUAAACCCUAAAUCCUAAACCCCACCAUUUAACUCUAAACCCUAAGUUUGUGACUUUUGAUAAAACAUUAAGUGCUAUUUUUGUGAAUUUUGACCUUGAGUGCUAGUUUGGGAACAAAAACUUGAUUUAGUGUUAUUUUUGUCUUUUUCUCUUUUAUAAAUAUUGUUUAAUUUUAAUUUUUGGUAAUUAUGCAACUUUUGCAAAUUUAUUUAAUAUAUUUAAUGAAAAUAAAUAGAUAGAAAAUCUAUCUAAGAUUAUAAUUUAAAAUAUAUACAUGCAUAUUCUUAAAUAUAAUUUUUAUGUUUAAUUAAAUCAAAUUUAUAUUAAAAUAUUGAUACGAAAAAGAAAAUUUACAAUAUUGAUAAAAUUUUAUUUUAAAAUAUAAUUUAUAUUUAUCUGUUAAAAAUAUUUUAAAUUUUUUUAUGCACAUCUAGUUUCUGUUAAACUUGAAGAACGAAUACUAACUAGCACAGGAAGAGACGGCUAAAGUUAUACAGAUUCUUGGUCUACCGGGGAGAGAUGAUUACCAUACACAUUUCAGAACAAAAAGGAGUAUCAGAUUCUCUUGAAGUAAAAAAGGUAUCAGAUACUAAUUCUUCAUUUUGUCACCAUCGAACAAUCUUUGAAUUCAAAACAUGUAUCAGAUACUCUAGCUCUCCGUUACCCCACGGUCCCCACCUUCUGACGAUCUCACUUCUCUUUCAUCGAACGCAGGUUUUAUUUUAGAGAGUAAUCCAUUCUGUUAUAAAAAUAAUGGAAAAAUCUAUCUUUAUUCAUAACAUAGAGAUUCUUUAUAUAGGAGAUUACACCGUGAUAGAUAAAUGAAAAGAUUACAAAUCAUAAUCUCUUGGUUAUACGCCAUUCACAAUCUGGUUCAUAACACUCCCCCUUGGAUGCCAUAAACAUUUAGAGCUUGUAAUGUGCUUUAAUGUUGUUUCAUUAAAAUCUUACCAGGAAAACUCAAUUGGGACAAAACCAUGGUGAAGGAAAAAGAGUACAACAUACAUUACUUCCCCUGAUUUGGACAUUACUGAAGGUCCCUUGGACCUCUCCAAUUUUCUGCAAUCCGUGAGUGAUGAAGAUCUUGGGCAGAAUAUGCUUCGUCCUCGAACAUGAUAGUUGGUUCUUCUUUACCAUCGGCCAUGCCACAAUCUGAUCGAACAUAUUGAGUCAUCGACCUCAAAUACACACACACGAAAUCUAGGAUGAUGUUGCUGUGAUAUGCCUGUACCACCAUGUGUAAAACAUAACCUGUCUGAAAACAAAUCAACAAAACCAAAUAACCCCUCUUUGCUGCAAGUCUAAUUUUCUCUCUUAUAUAGCCAGACUUAUGAGAAAUCUAAAAGUAGUUGCAUCCACCACAUGGGAGUAUGUCUCCUCAUAAUCUAUUACUGGUCUUUGUGAGAAUCCUUGUGCAACAUCAACUUUAUAUCUCACGAUUUCUAUUCAUCACAAGACCCAUUUAUAUCCACUGGUUUUAACAUCAUAUGGUGUCUUAAUCAUAUGGCCAAAUACGCAUUUCUUCCUUAAACUAUUUAACCCCACGUUUCCAUUCAAUCCAAUCUGUUAUACGAGUGCGCACUCUUAUAUUGACGUGGGUUCAUGAUCCUCACUUAUAUUCAUAAAUUCAAGUGCUACCUUGUAUGCAAAUAAAUCAUCUUAUGUCGACAUUCCUUAUUGGUUCCAUUAUGUUCCAGACAUGAUAUAAUCGAUUGAGAUUCAUUAUUAUCAGGACCUUUAAUACUUUGCAGCUUGGUGUCCCAAGCUACAUUGUUUGGUACCUGUGCCUUAGAGCCGGCCGGCCUUAUCUCCAUGUCUGGGAUGGUUUCCUUAGUAACCUCGGAUUUGGAUUUUGAUUAUCAUUCUCUGCACCUUUCUUUUGUUUCCGAGGAUUUUGUUUCCGAGGAUUCUUAUCUUUUGGAACCUAUUUGGUCUACCACGUUUCAUACGUUGUCUAGACUCUGUAGCAACUUGACUGUGUCUCUUCUUGGACAUCAAAUUCGUUGGUGCUUUACAAGCUGGUUUAUAUAUGACUUAGUCAUUCUUUUUUGGGUCAGAAAAUGUGUCUGGCAUUUGAUUAGCUAGCUUUGUAAAUGUAUAAUCUUUGGACGUCUAUUUCACAUUCUUUAGUCAGAGGAUCUUGCCAAGACAUUGAUGGUUGAUUCCAUUUUAUUUCAUUUACCAUUCUUUUACCAGCUUUAUUAUUUUUUUCUCCUCCUGGUCUUAAAAUAAUUCGUGUACCUGGCCUAAAAUAUAAUCACCCAUAGUUGGCUCAAAGUACUUUAUUAUUGUGGGAGAAUCAUAUCCAACAUAUAUCCCCAUCCUCCUUUUGUGGUCCCAUCUUAGUUCUUUGUGGUGGAGCAACUAGUACAUAGACAGCAUAUCCAAAUGUCUUAUGAUGGGGUAUGUCUGGCUCUUGACCCGUUAAUAAUUAUGAUAGGGGAUAUCUAUGCUCACUAAAUGGUCUGAUGCGUAUUAACUUAGGUGCAUGUAAAUUUUGUGUAGCCCAAGCUGUGAAUGAGAGUUUUGACCUCAUAAGUUAUGGUCCAUCAAUCAGCUAUUUGCGUUUUAAAAGAUUUCGGCCAAGCCGUUCUUGGUAUGGACAUGUAUCACAGAAUUGUCCACACUUACCCCAAUGGACAUACCAUAAUCAUUUAAACGCUUGGGACAUGUAUUCACCAGUAUUAUCUAGACAUAUAGUCUUUAUUUAUGAAAAAGGGGCUCGAAGCCGUUUUACUGGUGAUGGCCUAAUGAGUUUCCCUUGUGUACAUGCUACACACGUGAGAUGCUUUGGGAUAACUCUUGUUAUCUUUUAAUGUGUGCCUUUUGAAUAUCAAUUUUUGCAUCAUGUUUGGACCAGGAAGGCCAAUCCGGUCGUGCCAUAAAGUGUAUAUUUUCGUAGGUUUUUAGCCUCUAUCAUAUUGAUCUAUGCAUAGUCUAGGUCAGUAGAGAAUGCAUGUGUAGUCUUUAGGACUUAUUAUGGCCUUGGGCGAUUUUAUACAUAUAUCUGAAGGAACUCUUUGUUUCCUUCGCCCAUUGUUUCAAUAUGGAAACCAUUCAUUCUUAUAUCUUUAAAACUCAAUAGGCUGCUCUUGCUCUUAGAGCUGGGUGAAUAUAAGGCAUCACUGAUUUCUAGAUGCAUACCCUUAGGCAGUAAUAUAUUACCCUAGCCAUAGUCUUCUUUCAGACUGGCGGUACUUGCUUUAGUACUUAUAUUGGCGUUUUCAGUGUACUCAUAUAGAAAAAUCAUUCAUUCGUUUAAUCUAAGUAGACAAUGUAAUAGAAAUAAAUUCAUGGAGAUAAAAAAGAGAAAAAGCAUACAAGCAAAGCAAUCACACAAGUUUGAUGUCGAAAUCAGAUUAUCAACUUGAUUCUUUUAGGCAAUCAUAAGUCUCAUAUUCCGUAAGAUCAUCUUGAUCAUGUUCGAAAUUAUUUUCACCAUCUUUAUAGACCAAGUGGGUUUCAGGAUUCUUCCCUUUCAGACUCUCUUUGAUAGAGGUCACAAAAAUGUUUGGGAGUCCUUCAUAUUUUAGCCCAAUGGUUCCCCAUUCCACAUCUAUGCACAUUGAUUUGGUCGAGCUUUGUGGUUUAAAAGAUAUACCACGGCCACUGCCUUGACCAUGGCUCAAAUUGGGUUGAUACCCACGGCCUCUGCCAUAGUGAUUCCCACGGCCAAAUGCGUUAUAGUGGCCAUGGCCACGUCCUUUCCACCCUCCACGGCCAUGACCGUGUGGUCUAUCAUUCUGGACGUGGUUACCUUUUUUUUUCUUCUGCGGCCUUAUUGGUAUCAGGUAAUGGGGUUAAUCCAGGAGGUCUCAAUUCACUGUUUCUCAUCAGUAAUCCAUUAUUUUACCCAGCUAGCAAUAGACUCAUCCACAGACUUAUAGUCCUGGAUUCUGGGAUUCCUCCAAUCAAAUAUGGCAUUUGGUAAUAACACCGUUCUUUGGUGAUCAUAUCUCGAUUUUUAACUCUGUCCAAAGGUCUAGAGGAUUCUCUAUAGUCAGAUACUGAUCUUUGAGACUCUUAAUAAGAUGAUGACUAAUAAUUAAUAUUGCCAUGUAUCAAUCUUUCUCAUUGGCAUUAUUGUCUUCUAUGAUACAUUCACCAAGUCUUUUUGACUUUUGGAUAAUCUUUUUAUCCAAUGCCCACCAUAAAUAAUUAUCUCCAGAGAGAUUUAGGGCAGCAACAUCCAGGUUGAUUUUCGACAUCUCAAAUCAUAUAUCACUCAAUAUUUAGGUAUAAUUUUCAUGCGGCCUUACUCUUAAAAAACAAUCAAUUCGGAUUUCAAUCUUGUGAGGACAAUGAGACUAUCAAUCUUAAAGACAUUUAAUCAAUCAGUCAAUUUCUAGCAAGUCUCAGCAAUAUUAUUUCUAUGUGCUCAUAAUAUUAUGGUUUAUCAAGACUAGCAAAAACUGAUUCGAUUAAUCAUGCAAUUAGGGUUUAACAAUCAAUGGAUUUUAGCAAGACUAGUAAAAAGAUUUAUUAAUCACUCAAUCAGUUUCAAGGCUGAUUUUAGCAAUACUAGAAUAUAGAUUUCAAGCAUGAAUUUCAAUGAAUCAGUUUCAAGGCUGAUUGGUAUUUACCAUAAACCAUGUGUAAAUAAUUUAUCUAGUAUCCGAAUUUAUCAAACCUCAAAAACUUAUAAUCAGAUCAAUCAAUUUAAUCGAACUUAGCAUACAAUCUUAAACCUCAAGACAUUAGAUUUUAUCAUGAAUCUAUCAACCUAGCAUACGGAUUCUCAAUUCCCAAAGACAUCUAAAUCAGAUCAAUAUAACCUGUCAUACGGAUUAUUUAGGGUUUCUAUUUAAAACAGAUUAAAUUACAAAACUAUCAAUCCUAGCGGAUGAUAUUAAACCUCAAGACUCAUGCAAUCAGAUCAUUCGGAUUUUAAACAAGUAAACCUCAAUCAAUCUAUCAACCUAUCAGAUUAUAUAAGCAAAGCAAGCUAGCAACCUAUCGGAUUCAAUCAAUGUUUUAACAGUCUGGUCGGUUUAAGCAAUUUUAAAUCAGAUGAACAAUUAACCAAGCAGGAUGAGAAAAUAAAUCUAUCAAUUUAACGGUCAAACAAUUCUAGCAACAUAGCAUCAGAUUCAAUCAGAUUUAAAACCUCAAUGAUCAAAACCGAAAACAUUUUUUAUUUCAAAAUAUUCGAUUAGAGUUUUAAUAUGUGAUUUGAUAAUUAUAGUAUAAUUAAUUCUGAUACUUAUAUUAUUUAGGGUUUAUAAAUAUAUGGUUAGGGUUUAUCGAAUUUUAACUUGUAAAAACCGAUUUGGGAUUUUAAUCAUGUAGGAACAUGAUUUAGGGUUUGGGGUAUCAAACUUUUAGAGCUUCGAUUUACUCAAUUAGGAUUUUUGAUCUAUUACCCUAUGGUUUUGAUUCAUAAAGAUUAGGGUUUUAGGGUUUCAUUCUUUAUCAAUCAAUCCAUGUUUGAUUAUGGGUUCUUAGGUUUUGAAUUACCUUUUAACCUUAGAUGAUUGUUGAAUCGGACCACCAAAGGAGUUGAGCCGCGAGCUGGACACGAACGGGACGCGAGCUGUCUGAUGCUGUCGCGAACGAGGAAGAGGUCGCGUGCUGGAGCUGCUCUCGAGAAACGAACGUCUAGGCUAGGAUCAGGAACGCCUUGGGCUGAAGCUGAUCGGGGACGCGAGCUGGAACAGAUGCGGGAACAAGAGACGCGAUCAGGGUUUAGGGUUCGUCGGAUCGCCGGCUAGGGUUAGGGUUUUAGGGUAUUUCGAUUUUGGUAUUAGCUUAGGGAUUUAGAGUUUCGUGCUGAUAACGUGUUAUAAAAGUAAUGAAAAAGUCUAUCUUUAUUCAUAACAUAGAGGUUCCUUAUAUAACAGAUUACACCGUCAUAGAUAAAUGGAAAGAUUACAAAUCAUAAUCUCUUGGUUAUGAGUCAUUCACAAUCUGGUUCAUAACACAUUCAAGUUUUUCAAAUUAUUUUUGGAUUUUUAAUUCGUAUAAAUUAUGAGAAAAUUAUUUAGAUUAUUCUUUAUUCACUGAAACAUUAUUAGACUUACUCUCAUUAAACUCACAUAUUGCUUGAAUAGGUCCUAAAAUAUAUAAAAAAAUCAUCUAAAUUUAUUCUAUUUACAUUUGAUGCCAUUAUAUUCUAUAGUUAAGAAAAACAAAAUUAAAUCUGAUUUAAAAAUUAUGUACAGAACAAAAGCAAACUCGACACAGACAAAAAUUCUCUUUGUAUACUGUUUCCGAUUGACAACGGAAGUGUUGAAUUCUUUUUUUUUUGAAGUGAUAAUUCUAAAUAAGUCGUUUUUGUCAAAGAUUAAACAAAUUUUCUUUGGCUUUGUUUUUUUUCAUAGCUCAUAGAUAAGUAGUGCAAGGCUGCAAGCUAUCAAAUUUUUGACAGAAUAUUCUUUACAUAAUUAUCAAAUCCCAAGAAACUACGAGAAAAAAAGCUGGCUUGUUUCAUUUUGUCAAGCUCUACAAUACUUGGAGUUUAGUACGUGGAAUCAAAAAUCUUAUAUAUUUUGGUCAAUUUUAAAAUCCACUAUAUAUUAUUUGUGAAACAUUACAACUUCUUUUUGUAUCCACAUGUCAUCACUAAAAUGAUUCUUAGAAUAAUUAGAGAAAUAUGUUGGUCCAUCUAAUUAUAUAAUAAGCUUUUUAUUAAAUUAACCAUAAAUUCAUUAUUAAUAUCAUUUAUUAUUUCCUUAAAUAAAGAUUACGGAAUUGCCUAAUGUGGCUAAAGUAUAUAUGACAAUUAAUGAUUUUGAAUAAUAAAGAUCUGGUAAAAAAAUAAUGUAUCUUCUAUCAAAUUUGUUUAAUUUUAAACUAUUAAAAUAAUUUAAAAAAAUCACAAUAACCAUAUUAUAAAAAUUUAGAUUUUUCUGUAUAUGUUAUAUUUUGAAUUUAAAAAAACGACUUUAAAUUACUAAAACUGUUAAAAGUCUCACAUUCAAAUUUUGCGAUCCAUUGUUUAAAAUUUUUGUUAUGACAAAAUACAAAUGAUUACAAAAUCAUAUAAAUAAAAGUCUAAUUUAAUUAAUCAUUAAGAUUUAAAAUAUAUAUGUAUAUAUAUCAUUCUAAACUAAACUAUAAACCAUA